rnacentral:rRNA from 1 species
CAGCUGGAUGAUAGCCGGGCUGAAGACUCUACUUGACUAGCUGAGAGGAGGUGCAUGGCCGUCGUCAGUUCGUACUGUGAAGCAUCCUGUUAAGUCAGGCAACGAGCGAGACCCACGCCAACAGUUGCCAGCUCGUCCUCCGGGAUGGUGGGGACACUGUUGGGACCGCUCUGCUAAAGAGGGGAAGGAAUGGGGCAACGGUAGGUCAGCAUGCCCCGAAUUAUCUGGGCUACACGCGGGCUACAAUGGGUGGGACAAUGGGUAUCGACACCGAAAGGUGAAGGCAAUCUCCUAAACCCAUCCGUAGUUCGGAUUGUGGGCUGCAACUCGCCCACAUGAAGCUGGAAUCUGUAGUAAUCGUGUCUCAAAAUGGCACGGCGAAUAUGUCCCUGCUCCUU